rnacentral:lncRNA from 1 species
UGUCCAAAUACACUCAAUUUUAUAAUGCAAAGUUUUGUUGUUACACGAGUCCAUAUAUAUCAUGAUUAUACAAAGCUGGUUUGGUGAGGGGGGAUUAUGCUUCUUUUCUAUUAAACUAUUUAGUGGAGUUUCUAGAAAAUGUAUACGUGAAGUAUGCUUUUCCGUUAAAUAUAUAAUCUGCGAAGUUUGUUUGGCUAAUUUAUAUAUUCAAUGAUUUAUAUGUGGUCACAUAUAAUACCCACAAAUUCAAGACUUCUAAUUCUAGUAUAGUCUCAUAUUAAUUUAGUAUGACUCGAAUCAUUAAUAUAAUAGAGUUAAACAAGUAAGUCCAUGUUCAUACUCGAGGUCUUAGGCUAUGGUUAUUUAUACAAACAAAUAAAUAUAUUGUGCUUGUGACUUUUUAAGGCACUAUCCACGUAUAUCACAAUUUCAAUCUAUAAAUGGUGACAUAAAUAACAUAUUUAAACAAUAAAAAUAAAAAUACAACAUAUAGAGGAGACAAAACAACAUAAUACAAUACAACCAUUUUUAACUGUGU